CUGACGCUAAGGCGUGAAAGCGUGGGGAGCAAACAGGAUUAGAUACCCUGGUAGUCCACGCCCUAAACGAUGAACACUAGUCGUCGCUAUGCUAGUCAUGGCGGUGAUGCACUUAACAGAUUAAGUGUUCCGCCUGGGGAGUACGGUCGCAAGAUUAAAACUCAAAGGAAUAGACGGGGACCCGCACAAGUGGUGGAGCAUGUGGUUUAAUCGAAAAUACGCGAAAAACCUUACCUGGCCUUGACAUUGAUAGAAUCUGCUAGAGAUAGCGGAGUGCCAGUUUACUGGAGCUUGAAAACAGGUGCUGCACCGGCUGUCGUCAGCUCGUGUCGUGAGAUGUUGGGUUAAGUCCCGCAACGAGCGCAACCCUCGUCCUUAGUUGCCAGCAGUUCGGCUGGGCACUCUAGGGAGACUGCCUACGCAAGUAGGAGGAAGGUGAGGACGACGUCAAGUCAUCAUGGCCCUUACGGCCAGGCUACACACGUGCUACAAUGGGGCGU
rnacentral:rRNA from 1 species